rnacentral:rRNA from 1 species
ACGUAAUAGAUACCCAGGUAGUCCACGCCGUAAACGAUGAGCACUAGUUAUUGGAGGUAUUGACUCCUUCAGUGACGCAGCUAACGCAUUAAGUGCUCCGCCUGGGGAGUACGGUCGCAAGACUAAAACUCAAACAAAUUGACGGGGGCCCGCACAAGCGGUGGAUUAUGUGGUUUAAUUCGAAGCAACGCGCAGAACCUUACCUAGGCUUGAACUCCUACGAACCUCUUGUAAUGGAGAGGGUGUCCGCAAGGAAAUGUAGUGAGAGGUGCUGCAUGGCUGUCGUCAGCUCGUGUUGUGAAAUGUUGGGUUAAGUCUCGCAACGAGCGCAACCCCUAUCGUCUGUUGCCAGCAUUAAGUUGGGCACUCUGACGAGACUGCCUGGGUUAACCAGGAGGAAGGUGGGGAUGACGUCAAGUCCUCAUGGCCCUUAUGUCUAGGGCUACACACGUAAUACAAUGGCGCGUACAAAGGGAAGCGAACUCGCAGGGGGGUAGCAAAUCUCAAAAACGCGCGCCUCAGUUCGGAUUGAAGU